rnacentral:lncRNA from 1 species
AUUCACUAUAGAAACUAGACAAAUUAAGAUCAACCAAGAUCUUUAAUUGAAAAAAUGUGCACAUGUACAAGCUACUCUUCAGUACGAGCUAGCACUCCAUAUUCUCCACCAGAUUCAUUACCCUCAUAGAAGGAGCCAGUUCCAAGGCAAUCACGCUCAACAGAGUAGUCAUGAUUCGUGAAUCCGCAGCAACCAAGUAAACUUGAAAUUUUUGAAAGAAGUCUACGUUAGAAAUUAUUAGAAAAUAGAAAGGGAAAGGGGGGUUUUGAGCAGAUAGCAGCUUUUCUUGUCUGUCUCAAGCCUCUAAGUCUAAAGUUUAAGGGAUUAGGGAAUUAGGGGUUUUGGGUAUGGGCUUAGGCUUAUUGAUACUAUGCACCUAACAUAUAUCCACUGUCAAUAAGUUUGCAAAGCGUAAUAAUACAAAAAUCUGCCACCAUCGUCAAUUGUUCAAACAGUUCAAACAUCUGUGAAAUGAAUGCUAUUUAUCCACUGUCAUUCCAGCUAAGGUAAAUCAUAUUCAUAUAUAAGGAAGUUUGAUAAUUUGGAUGAAGAUAGUGCGAGCAUCUCUAGAAUAGCAGCAGAUAAAAUAUGCACAUGAAUUCUAAACUCAGAAUGGCAACUAGAAUAUAGCAAUGCAAUUCAUCAUUCUGGAGAAGUUUGCAAAGCGUAAUAUAUAUCCUAGCAUAUAUAGUUCUUGGUAUCAACAAGUAUAAUUCUAAAUUGAAUAACCUAAAAAAAACAGAAAGAUAGUCGUUUAUUUCUUAGCAAAAGAACAGCCCCGCUUUAUUUCAUGCAAUAUUAAAUCAGUACUUUUUUCAUUUUAAAUAAGCAAUAUUAAUACCUGGAAUGAGUUGGCCUUCUUUGUUGAUAUUAGUAGAUGGACGACGGAUUGGUUGUAAAGUUGCUUGUUGUGCAAAAGAAGCUUCUCCUAGAGAAUUAUCACCCAAUGCCGCUAGAAUAAUGUUAGCAUCAAUAUCAAUUCCUGAACACUGAAGUCGUGCAAGGACAUCUGCAACAACUUCUUGACGGAUAGUUGCCUUUUGUUCCUCAAUUUUUUCCUCCAUUCUUUGUAUAUUCUCCUCCAUUUUUUGUAGAUAAUUUGUAGUAUUUGAAGAGGAUUCAAAACAUCCUACUUUCCCUCUCAAAGAAUUCUUGUAACCCCUCGUCCAUACAAUCUCAGGCGUCCCGGAUGUCCAGGCCCCAUGAUAGAUGCAAAUGCAUCUACGGACUCACUAAGCACUAGUUUCUUCCAUUUCAUUUUGAGCGUGAUAAAAUCAAUAGUCAAUGAGGGGAGCAGUGCCAUCAGAGAACGUAGCAUCUAACUGAAACCACAGAUUUUGGAUCUGGCUUUUAAAAGGAAUUGCUUGGACUUUGGAUUUAAGGACUUACUGGAGAAAAGGAAUCAAUCUGCUUUUUCUGCAUCAUUAGGUUUCAUACUGCACCAUUUGGAAACUAGGGAGAGCCAGUUUCAUUACAUUUAGUUGUAUUAAAUGGUUUACUAUGAUGCUUUAAUUUUAUAAAGUUUCAACAAAAAAGAUAUAAGCAUACUUGUAGCUUUUUCACCUUUCUGAUAUGUACAUCUUUCUGAUAUGUACACCAGCUUUUGGGAUUAGUAAGCUCAAGGCCCUGUGGUUGUGCAUUUAGGUAGCUUUUUCAACUGAGAAAUUGUGCCUUUUGCACCCUAGUUCAUCUUGCAGCCCCUUACUAGUUAAGUAAUGAAUAGUGCCUUUUGCACCCCAGUUCACCCCCAGAAAAUAAUAACUUAAUAGAUACAUAUCAUCAGUGGGAAACACUUAGAAAGCUGCUCCUAACCAUGAAUU